rnacentral:tRNA from 1 species
CGGGGCGUAGCGCAGUCUGGUAGCGCAUCUGCUUUGGGAGCAGAGGGUCGUGAGUUCAAAUCCCACCGCCCCGACCA